rnacentral:rRNA from 1 species
AUUGAACGCUGGCGGCAUGCCUUACACAUGCAAGUCGAACGGUAACGGGCCUUCGGGUGCCGACGAGUGGCGAACGGGUGAGUAAUGCAUCGGAACGUGCCCAAUCGUGGGGGAUAACGUAGCGAAAGUUACGCUAAUACCGCAUACGAUCUACGGAUGAAAGCGGGGGAUCGCAAGACCUCGCGCGAUUGGAGCGGCCGAUAUCAGAUUAGGUUGUUGGUGAGGUAAAAGCUCACCAAGCCUGCGAUCUGUAGCUGGUCUGAGAGGACGACCAGCCACACUGGAACUGAGACACGGUCCAGACUCCUACGGGAGGCAGCAGUGGGGAAUAUUGCACAAUGGGCGAAAGCCUGAUGCAGCGACGCCGCGUGAGGGAUGACGGCCUUCGGGUUGUAAACCUCUUUCAGCAGGGAAGAAGCGAAAGUGACGGUACCUGCAGAAGAAGCACCGGCUAACUACGUG